rnacentral:lncRNA from 1 species
UACACAUAGAAUAGAGUAAAAUAAAAUCUAUUCUCUGAAAUGGUAAAAAAAAAAAGGUAUUUGUGUGAAAAAAUGGCAUUACUUGCUCUUUGAAGGUUUGAUACAACUUAUUAAUAAACCAAUCCAGGGUACUUCUGUACAAAGAUUUGCAUUUAAUUACCAAAUGGAAGCGUUCAGCCUUUUUAUCUGCUUGUGGUUUGUAAGAAAUUCUGCUAUUCUCCUUAAGUUCACAAGUACAUGAGUACGAAUUCUUGACAAUUAAUUUUGUUGAACAAUCUUUUUGUAGUAUGAGGGUGUCCCUUUCUGGUCCUGAUACUGAUCAUUGUGGCUCCCCCCCCCACCCCCGUCUCCUCCUCCCCUCCCUCCCUCCCCUCUCCUAGAUCAGUUUUGUAGGACUUAUCUGUUGCUUAAAUCUCUGCAUCGAGCCAGCCUUUGGCCUCGCUGACUUCCUGUCUCCUCUGCUCGUUGAUUUCUGUUUUUAUUUUCAUUUCACCUAUUUGCUUUGAGCCUGGUUUUUAUAUGGGCUCCUGGAAUCGUCUAUUGUCUCAGUAUUCACUUGGGGUGCAUUUUACACAUUUUAAGUUUGGUCUUAGCCAGAAGUCUGAGAAGUAGUCGUCUACUCCUGCCUUAGCCACUGUUCUACUGCUGUGAAGAGACGCCGUGGCUAAAGCAACUUAUAGAAGAAGACAUUUAACUGGGGGCUUGUUCAAAGCUUCAGAGGGUUUAUCACCAUGGCGGGGAGCAGGGUGGCAGGCAGGGAGGCAUGGUGAGAGAAGCAGCUAGGAGCUUUCCAUCCUGAUCCACAGCCAGGAGAGAGAGAGAGAGAGAGAGAGAGAGAGAGAGAGAGAGAGACAGAGACAGAGACAGAGACACAGAGGAGAGACACAGAGAGACAGAGAGACAGAGAGAGACAGAGAGACAGCGCUUCUUCAACAAGGCAACACACCUUCUAAUCCUUUUCAACACUUCACCACCAACUGGGGGCUAAGUAUGCAAAUAUAUGAGCCUAUGGGGCUCACUUAAACCACCACAACCAGCAGAAAUGUUAUUAUAUCAAGAAUUCAAAUUAUUCUGGAAAGUAAAGAAGAAUUCAUAACAUUGAGAAGAAAAAAACCACGACAACUUCAUACAGUAUUUACUUACACUCUUCUCAGAGAACAUACACAUAGGGUUUUAUUCCUUUAAGAUAUAUCAAGAAUUAUUUUAUGAUGCAAGACAUGGUUUCCAUUCACCCGUGAAGGUAACAGGUUGCUUCUGCAGGUAGCUAGUCACGCAGUUCGAGGCUUCUGUGUUCUCGCUCUUUUUCUGAUUUUUUUUUCCUUUCUGCAGCUAUCUUGUUGCUUUUGUGAAUCGGGGAGUUUAAUGAGGGUUGCUUUCAGAGGUCUGUGGGUGAAGAGCGUUUUGCAGGAACAAGAGCAACUACCACUGGUCACAUCACUGAAGAAAAUGUCUGCCCACUAAGACUUUUGUACUCUUUAUUUGUUUAAAACAACUUUUAUUUUUAUUUUUAUUUUUAUUUAUUUUUUAUUUUUGGUUUUUUGAGACAAGGUUUCUCUGUAUAGCCCUGGCUGUCCUGGAACUCACUUUGUUGACCAAGCUGGCCUCGAACUCCCAAGUACUGGGACUAAAAGUGUGUGCCGCCACCACCCGGCACAACUGUUAUCUUAUUUUUUUUUUUUAAAUGUGAUUUAUUAUGAGUGUAGAGAUCAGAUCAGAGGACAACUUGCAAGAGUUGGCCCUGUCUUCCCAGCGCAUGGGUCUCAGGGAUGGAGUCCAGGCACCUUCCCCUUUGAGCGGCUGCACAGGCUGAAUCCUUGGUGAUUUCCCCCUGGUUGUUUAUCCCAUGAGUCGAUAGGAGAGGCACUGCAAAACACCCAACUCUGAUUAUGGCUUAUUUAUUUUCCAUUUUAAUUCUGUUUGUUUUUACUGUAUGUUUUGAAGCUGUUUUUUUUUUUAAGAUUUUUUUAUUUAUAUGAGUACUUUGUAGCUGUCUUCAGACACACCAGAAGAAGGCAUCGGAUCCCACUACAGAUGGUUGUGAGCCACCAUGUGGUUGCUGGGAAUUGAACUCAGGACCUCUGGAAGAGCAGUUGGUGUUCUUAACCACUGAGCCAUCUCUCCAGCCACUGAAGCUGUUAUUAGUAUGGACAAAUAAAGAAUUGUUCUGCAUGUUUUU